rnacentral:rRNA from 1 species
ACGAUAACGAACGAGACCUUAACCUGCUAAAUAGUCAGGCUGGCUUUGGCUGGUCGCUGACUUCUUAGAGGGACUGUCUGUGUCUAACCGACGGAAGUUUGAGGCAAUAACAGGUCUGUGAUGCCCUUAGGUGUUCUGGGCCACACGCGCGCUACACUGACAGAGCCAGCGAGUAUUCACCUUGGCUGGAAAGUCUGGGUAAUCUUGAGAAACUCUGUCGUGCUGGGGAUAGAGCAUUGCAAUUAUUGCUCUUCAACGAGGAAUACCUAGUAAGCGCGAGUCAUCAGCUUGCGUUGAUUACGUCCCUGCCCUUUGUACACACCGCCCGUCGCUAAUACCGAUUGAAUGGGUA